AUGAACGCUGGCGGCGUGCCUAAUACAUGCAAGUCGCGCGAACGGACGAGAAGCUUGCUUUUCUGAUGUUAGCGGCGGACGGGUGAGUAACACGUGGAUAACCUACCUAUAAGACUGGGAUAACUUCGGGAAACCGGAGCUAAUACCGGAUAAUAUUUUGAACCGCAUGGUUCAAAAGUGAAAGACGGUCUUGCUGUCACUUAUAGAUGGAUCCGCGCUGCAUUGGCUAGUUGGUAAGGUAACGGCUUACCAAGGCAACGAUGCAUAGCCGACCUGAGAGGGUGAUCGGCCACACUGGAACUGAGACACGGUCCAGACUCCUACGGGAGGCAGCAGUAGGGAAUCUUCCGCAAUGGGCGAAAGCCUGACGGAGCAACGCCGCGUGAGUGAUGAAGGUCUUCGGAUCGUAAAACUCUGUUAUUAGGGAAGAACAUAUGUGUAAGUAACUGUGCACAUCUUGACGGUACCUAAUCAGAAAGCCACGGCUAACUACGUG
rnacentral:rRNA from 1 species